rnacentral:rRNA from 1 species
AUACGUAGGGGGCGAGCGUUGUCCGGAAUGAUUGGGCGUAAAGGGCGCGUAGGCGGCCUGUUAAGUCUGGAGUGAAAGUCCUGUUUUCAAGAUGGGAAUUGCUUUGGAUACUGAUGGGCUUGAGUGCAGGAGAGGUUAUCGGAAUUCCCGGUGUAGCGGUGAAAUGCGUAGAGAUCGGGAGGAACACCAGUGGCGAAGGCGGGUAACUGGACUGCAACUGACGCUGAGGCGCGAAAGUGUGGGGAGCAAACAGGAUUAGAUACCCUGGUAGUCCACACUGUAAACGAUGAAUGCUAGGUGUAAGAGGUAUCGACCCCUUUUGUGCCGGAGUUAACACAAUAAGUAUUCCACCUGGGGAGUACGAUCGCAAGAUUGAAACUCAAAUGAAUUGACGGGG